UUAAGCGACUAAGCGUACACGGUGGAUGCCCUGGCAGUCAGAGGCGAUGAAGGACGUGCUAAUCUGCGAAAAGCGUCGGUAAGGUGAUAUGAACCGUUAUAACCGGCGAUGUCCGAAUGGGGAAACCCAGUGUGAUUCGUCACACUAUCGUUAACUGAAUACAUAGGUUAACGAGGCGAACCGGGGGAACUGAAACAUCUAAGUACCCCGAGGAAAAGAAAUCAACCGAGAUUCCCCCAGUAGCGGCGAGCGAACGGGGAGCAGCCCAGAGUCUGAAUCAGCUUGUGUGUUAGUGGAACGGUCUGGAAAGUCCGACGGUACAGGGUGAUAGUCCCGUACACCAAAAUGCACAGGUUGUGAACUCGAAGAGUAGGGCGGGACACGUGGUAUCCUGUCUGAAUAUGGGGGGACCAUCCUCCAAGGCUAAAUACUCCUGACUGACCGAUAGUGAACCAGUACCGUGAGGGAAAGGCGAAAAGAACCCCGGCGAGGGGAGUGAAAAAGAACCUGAAACCGUGUACGUACAAGCAGUGGGAGCACCUUCGGGUGUGACUGCGUACCUUUUGUAUAAUGGGUCAGCGACUUAUAUUCUGUAGCAAGGUUAACCGUAUAGGGGAGCCGCAGGGAAACCGAGUCUUAACUGGGCGUUAAGUUGCAGGGUAUAGACCCGAAACCCGGUGAUCUAGCCAUGGGCAGGUUGAAGGUUGGGUAACACUAACUGGAGGACCGAACCGACUAAUGUUGAAAAAUUAGCGGAUGACUUGUGGCUGGGGGUGAAAGGCCAAUCAAACCGGGAGAUAGCUGGUUCUCCCCGAAAGCUAUUUAGGUAGCGCCUCGUGAAUUCAUCUUCGGGGGUAGAGCACUGUUUCGGCUAGGGGGUCAUCCCGACUUACCAACCCGAUGCAAACUACGAAUACCGAAGAAUGUUAUCACGGGAGACACACGGCGGGUGCUAACGUCCGUCGUGAAGAGGGAAACAACCCAGACCGCCAGCUAAGGUCCCAAAGUCAUGGUUAAGUGGGAAACGAUGUGGGAAGGCACAGACAGCCAGGAUGUUGGCUUAGAAGCAGCCAUCAUUUAAAGAAAGCGUAAUAGCUCACUGGUCGAGUCGGCCUGCGCGGAAGAUGUAACGGGGCUAAACCAUGCACCGAAGCUGCGGCAGCGACACGAUGUGUUGUUGGGUAGGGGAGCGUUCUGUAAGCCUGCGAAGGUGUGCUGUGAGGCAUGCUGGAGGUAUCAGAAGUGCGAAUGCUGACAUAAGUAACGAUAAAGCGGGUGAAAAGCCCGCUCGCCGGAAGACCAAGGGUUCCUGUCCAACGUUAAUCGGGGCAGGGUGAGUCGACCCCUAAGGCGAGGCCGAAAGGCGUAGUCGAUGGGAAACAGGUUAAUAUUCCUGUACUUGGUGUUACUGCGAAGGGGGGACGGAGAAGGCUAUGUUAGCCGGGCGACGGUUGUCCCGGUUUAAGCAUGUAGGCUGGUUGUCCAGGCAAAUCCGGAUAAUCAAGGCUGAGGUGUGAUGACGAGGCACUACGGUGCUGAAGUAACAAAUGCCCUGCUUCCAGGAAAAGCCUCUAAGCAUCAGGUAACAUCAAAUCGUACCCCAAACCGACACAGGUGGUCAGGUAGAGAAUACCAAGGCGCUUGAGAGAACUCGGGUGAAGGAACUAGGCAAAAUGGUGCCGUAACUUCGGGAGAAGGCACGCUGGUGUGUAGGUGAAGUCCCUGCGGAUGGAGCUGAGACCAGUCGAAGAUACCAGCUGGCUGCAACUGUUUAUUAAAAACACAGCACUGUGCAAACACGAAAGUGGACGUAUACGGUGUGACGCCUGCCCGGUGCCGGAAGGUUAAUUGAUGGGGUUAUCCGUAAGGAGAAGCUCUUGAUCGAAGCCCCGGUAAACGGCGGCCGUAACUAUAACGGUCCUAAGGUAGCGAAAUUCCUUGUCGGGUAAGUUCCGACCUGCACGAAUGGCGUAAUGAUGGCCAGGCUGUCUCCACCCGAGACUCAGUGAAAUUGAACUCGCUGUGAAGAUGCAGUGUACCCGCGGCAAGACGGAAAGACCCCGUGAACCUUUACUAUAGCUUGACACUGAACAUUGAGCCUUGAUGUGUAGGAUAGGUGGGAGGCUUUGAAGCGUGGACGCCAGUCUGCGUGGAGCCAACCUUGAAAUACCACCCUUUAAUGUUUGAUGUUCUAACGUUGGCCCCUGACCGGGGUUGCGGACAGUGUCUGGUGGGUAGUUUGACUGGGGCGGUCUCCUCCCAAAGCGUAACGGAGGAGCACGAAGGUUAGCUAAUCCUGGUCGGACAUCAGGAGGUUAGUGCAAUGGCAUAAGCUAGCUUGACUGCGAGCGUGACGGCGCGAGCAGGUGCGAAAGCAGGUCAUAGUGAUCCGGUGGUUCUGAAUGGAAGGGCCAUCGCUCAACGGAUAAAAGGUACUCCGGGGAUAACAGGCUGAUACCGCCCAAGAGUUCAUAUCGACGGCGGUGUUUGGCACCUCGAUGUCGGCUCAUCACAUCCUGGGGCUGAAGUAGGUCCCAAGGGUAUGGCUGUUCGCCAUUUAAAGUGGUACGCGAGCUGGGUUUAGAACGUCGUGAGACAGUUCGGUCCCUAUCUGCCGUGGGCGCUGGAGAAUUGAGGGGGGCUGCUCCUAGUACGAGAGGACCGGAGUGGACGCAUCACUGGUGUUCGGGUUGUCAUGCCAAUGGCACUGCCCGGUAGCUAAAUGCGGAAGAGAUAAGUGCUGAAAGCAUCUAAGCACGAAACUUGCCCCGAGAUGAGUUCUCCCUGAGACUUUAAGUCUCCUGAAGGAACGUUGAAGACGACGACGUUGAUAGGCCGGGUGUGUAAGCGCAGCGAUGCGUUGAGCUAACCGGUACUAAUGAACCGUGAGGCUUAACCUU
rnacentral:rRNA from 1 species